AUGUUAACCUCCGUAUCACAGAGAAAUCUCCUGUUUUCUUUCUUGCUGUUUUCUGUCAGGUCUGUUGAGCCAGACAUCAUGUCUUUUUCCCCCUCUGAUCGUAUGGAAGAGGAUGCUUGGUUGAUGAAGAUCGAGAUGAAGAGAGAAGACCCCGUUGGAGCAGCUAAGGAGGACAAGAGCAAGGAGGCCACCGGAGAUCAAGUGUCGAUGGACGAGCAAGCAUUGCCCGCCGAUGAGGAAGAGGAAGAUAUCCUUGAACCCUACUAUGCUCAUCUUACCCCCUUUGAGAUUGCAGCCUUCAGGAUCAUUAAUAUGGUUCGUAUACAAAAUAAGUAUCUCAAUUGUGAAAAUAUUUUGCAUAUGGAGAACAUUGCUUCCCUGUGGAGAGUCAUCCGAAGAUUGGAGAGCCUCUUGAUCCUUAAAGACCGGAUUGCUUCUACUUCAUCACCACCAUCUUCUUAA
rnacentral:rRNA from 1 species